rnacentral:lncRNA from 1 species
UAGUGUAUAGAUCAUCAUCCUUCUAUUUUCUUCUUCUUCUCUAAGAUUGUCUUGAGAGAAAAUUUUUUUUUCAACUAUCAAGAUGCAAUCUCUGCAAAAGAGCUAGCAUCUCGGUGAGAUCAAGAAGCUUCUGAUCAUAUCGAAAUCUCGUAUGGAUAUCCAUAGAGGUCGGAUAUUUGUACGAUUUCAAAAGAUCUUCGAAAGAUAUCCAUG